AAAUAUAAAGGCUUUGUUUCAAACGCGUGAUUUUAAAAAUAAAUUUAACUUACUUGAGAAAUGUGAGUGACCUGGCGAUGGUUGAAGUUGCCAAUGCAUACCUGGGGCACGUUGGUUUGUGUUUCUGGAUUCGUUUGAACAUAUGUGAAUUUGUUGUGCCAGCAGGGGCGUGAAAUGUUGAGUUCAUACCUCCCCAAUGAAGAUUGGCUCAAAUAGAGCACUUUACUCCCAAUGGAAUUUGCAAGAGUUUUU
rnacentral:lncRNA from 1 species